AGAAUGAAUACAUAUUUAUAUCUAUGUCUAUAUGUAUUGUUUAUGUUGUUGAUAUUAUUCCUAUUACUUACAUUGUUUAUAUUAUUUAACAUUCACGUUCAUAUUAUAUCAGAAAGCUUAUAGUCUGUGGUCCAGCUUAGUCCAACAAUGACUGUCUACUGGAAGGUCCAAGAAUCCAGUAGUUGUUCAGUCCCCAAGACUGAACUGGUCUCAGCUGGUCUUCAGAAGAUUCUGGAAUCCUGAAGCAGUAAGCUCUAAUACCAGGGAUGGAAUGGUCUUGCCAGUGAGAGCAAGAGCAAGCAGGCAAAGGAAGCGAGCUUCCUUCAUCCAUGGGCUACCCGCAGACAGCACAGCACCGGCCCACCAGAGCUCUGGUCUGGAUGACACGCUCUUUUUCUUGAAUGCGACUGUUGCACGUUUUUCUUAAAGCCACGUGUGUCUGAGGAGACUCGGGUUUGGUUGCUUUGGAUACCAAGAACACGAGCUUGUCGGAUAUGAAGACAGAAGAAAUGGUGACCCACCCCAUGGAGGUACACAGCCAGGCAGAGACCUGGGUAUGGAGGACAGACCCCAGAGAGCCUGGAUCCAGGAGAAGACGUGGAAGUGUUGGAGUGGGAAGGUCAGGUCUGCUCAGGGAUAAGUCUGAACUGUGACAUUGCAAUUCUGGUGAGUAUCACAGACAAAGCAGGGCUUCUCAACAUGUGGUCCUCGGAUCAGCACAAACAUCUCCCGCGAGCUUCUACAAAAUACGGUCUAAGGCGCCAGCCAGACCUUCUGAAUCAGGAAACUGAGACUGAAAAGCUGGGCAGUGGUGACGCACACCUUUAGUCCCAGCACCCGG